AGCAGCAGUAGGGUAGCUGCAAGGAGGAAUGAAAGAAAAGAAAUGUGGGGUUGUUUCCGUCGCGAGUAAGCGAAAUAAUGCGCGCCUUUGGAAUCCCAAUAGACUCCAACUUUUGCUCCUCUUAUCCUUGUCUCUUGCUGCUCCCACCCUCUGUUAGCGUUACCAGCACCAACGCCAACACCGAACUCUCUUCCUUCUCUCCUAAAUUCUUCGCAAACCUUAGCUCACAAACAAAGCACCGCCUUCUCUCUCACUUCCGACCCAUCCCUCAUUGUGCCAAUUCCGGGUCAACGUUUUUGGACGACGACGAUGAUUAUCACGACAAUGAUACUGAUGAUGAUGGGUAUUAUUCGUAUGUAGGUGAGGAGGAGGAGGAGGAGGUGUCAGAAGACAGUGUGAGUGAGGAUGGUGUUUUUAUAGAGAUAAAGAAGCUUCAAAAGAACUCGAGGAGGAUUCGGUCCAAGAUUUCCAUAAAUGCUAGCCUUGACACUGUGUGGAAGAUAUUAACUGAUUAUGAGAAGUUGGCUGAUUUCAUUCCCAGUCUUGCUGUCAGUGAAUUAAUUGACAAGAAAGACAAUUUCGCUCGUCUUUAUCAGAUUGGACAGCAAAACUUGGCAUUUGGACUGAAAUUUAAUGCAAAAGCAAUUUUGGAUUGUUACGAGAGAGACCUUCAGACGUUUACUUUGGGGAAAAAACGUGAUAUUGAAUUUAAGAUGACGGAAGGUGACUUUCAGUGUUUUGAAGGAAAGUGGUCUAUUGAACAGGUACAAAUUAUCUGUUUCUCUGUUGUUUAGCAUCUCUAUAUUUGCAGGCUAUAAUUUCAUAUAUUUGAGAUUCAAGCUCCUUGGAAUAUAAUAUGAAAAUCUAUCCAAGUUAGUACAGUUUUUUCUAGGAGUGCUGACUUCAGAUUUGCAGCAUUAAGCAAGAUAUAGGAUGUGCUUUUCUUGCUUACCCUGGAAAAGAUUACAGCUGACAUGUUUGAAGAACUGAGGUUAUAGAACUCCAUAAAUAGAUACUUCCCUGAAAUGAUUGAACCAAGAAUUUAGUAACAUGUUGAAUCAAUUUUUUUACUGGAGCAUGUUGAGAUACUAUGUACAAAGCAUGUUGAGUCGGUGGAAGAGCCAGGGGAGGCCGGUUGAUGCCAAGGAGAGUGUCAAGGAAAAGAUAGAGGCAAGGAGCGUUUCAUACCCGGCUAGCUCAUUUAGAUGAGGAGCAGAAGAAAGGGAAAGAUUGACUGAAAGGCUGAAUUGAAUGUCCCAUUAUCUCAUCGGUGCUAGCCGCGAUAUGGAUGAAAUGUAAGAAGAUUCGAAUAAGGAGAAUUCCCUCUAAGCUGAAGCAAACACUCUCAACAGCAAGCCGAUCGAGUAGGAAGAGUAACAGCUAGGACUUAGGGCUUAGGAACAGCUGGCACAAAGUUAGCCGAUGCUUCCAUGUCAUUGCUUCUUCUCCGGGGAAAGAUGCUAUGUACAAACUCCUGAGCACACACAUAAGCACCAGAUGAAAUCCAUAACCCAAUGGAUAAAGGUUUUGGGUUAAUAUUUGGAGUCUGAUGCAUAUAUGCAACUCCACUCUGUGACUCCUCCCUGGUUCCUCUGCAGUUAAUGACAACUGGGCAUUCCAGCCAGUGUUUAAAGUUUUUUGACU